UACGUAGGGUGCAAGCGUUGUCCGGAAUUAUUGGGCGUAAAGAGCUCGUAGGCGGUUUGUCGCGUCUGCUGUGAAAACGCGAGGCUCAACCUCGCGCCUGCAGUGGGUACGGGCAGACUAGAGUGCGGUAGGGGAGAUUGGAAUUCCUGGUGUAGCGGUGGAAUGCGCAGAUAUCAGGAGGAACACCGGUGGCGAAGGCGGGUCUCUGGGCCGAUACUGACGCUGAGAAGCGAAAGCGUGGGGAGCGAACAGG
rnacentral:rRNA from 1 species